rnacentral:rRNA from 1 species
AUGAACGCUGGCGGCGUGCCUAAUACAUGCAAGUCGAGCGAACAGACGAGGAGCUUGCUCCUCUGACGUUAGCGGCGGACGGGUGAGUAACACGUGGAUAACCUACCUAUAAGACUGGGAUAACUUCGGGAAACCGGAGCUAAUACCGGAUAAUAUAUUGAGCCGCAUGGUUCAAUAGUGAAAGACGGUUUUGCUGUCACUUAUAGAUGGAUCCGCGCCGCAUUAGCUAGUUGGUAAGGUAACGGCUUACCAAGGCAACGAUGCGUAGCCGACCUGAGAGGGUGAUCGGCCACACUGGAACUGAGACACGGUCCAGACUCCUACGGGAGGCAGCAGUAGGGAAUCUUCCGCAAAGGGCGAAAGCCUGACGGAGCAACGCCGCGUGAGUGAUGAAGGUCUUCGGAUCGUAAAACUCUGUUAUUAGGGAAGAACAAAUGUGUAAGUAACUAUGCACGUCUUGACGGUACCUAAUCAGAAAGCCACGGCUAACUACGUG